GACAGAGGAUGCAAGCGUUAUCCGGAAUGAUUGGGCGUAAAGGGCGCGUAGGCGGUUUGGCAAGUUUGGUGUGAAAUCUUCGGGCUCAACUCGAAGUCUGCAUCGAAAACUGCCGGGCUUGAGUAUGGGAGAGGUGAGUGGAAUUUCCGGUGUAGCGGUGAAAUGCGUAGAUAUCGGAAGGAACACCUGUGGCGAAAGCGGCUCACUGGACCAUUACUGACGCUGAGGCGCGAAAGCUAGGGGAGCAAACAGG
rnacentral:rRNA from 1 species